UACGGGGGGGGGUAAGCGUUGUUCGGAAUUACUGGGCGUAAAGGGCUCGUAGGCGGCCAACUAAGUCAGACGUGAAAUCCCUCAGCUUAACUGGGGAACUGCGUCUGAUACUGGAUGGCUUGGAUUCGGGAGAGGAAUGCGGAAUUCCAGGUGUAGCGGUGAAAUGCGUAGAUAUCUGGAGGAACACCGGUGGCGAAGGCGGCAUUCUGGACCGAUAUUGACGCUGAGGAGCGAAAGCCAGGGGAGCAAACGGGG
rnacentral:rRNA from 1 species